rnacentral:rRNA from 1 species
UGACGGAGCAACGCCGCGUGAGUGAUGAAGGCCUUCGGGUCGUAAAACUCUGUUGUUAGGGAAGAACAAGUACCGGAGUAACUGCCGGUACCUUGACGGUACCUAACCAGAAAGCCACGGCUAACUACGUGCCAGCAGCCGCGGUAAUAC